CCCGGAGGAGGCAGCGCGGGGAGGCUUGGGCCCGGAGGAGGCAGCGCGGGGAGGCUUGGGCCCGGAGGAGGCAGCGCGGGGAGGCUUGGGCCCGGAGGAGGCAGCGCGGGGAGGCUUGGGCCCGGAGGAGGCAGCGCGGGGAGGCUUGGGCCCGGAGGAGGCAGCGCGGGGAGGGCUUCUCCAGCCGCGUCCUCACGUCCUCACUUCGAGCGGGCGGCGGGCCGGGCGGCGCGGACGCUCUUUGUCGGGGGCGCGGUGCCCGGGGAGCGCGGAGACUAGGAGGAGGCCGGCGCCGCGCUGGCUCUCCGCGAGGCGGGGACUGCGGGCCUGGCCCAUCGUCAGUAGGGCCCGGAAAGACUCGCGGGAUCCCGCCCGACCUGGACACGACCCCGCUGGGCACGGCGGGAGUCCGUAUCUCCUCUGUGAGACGGCUCCCUGGUCCCUCGCUAGCCUUGACCCCGCUCUGAACCCCAGCCCUCCCGCCCGGGCGCGUUUUGGACACCCCCUUCUGGGAGCCAUGCCCGCCGGCCCUCCGGCGGGUCGAGUCCUAACUUGCCAGCCCCGGGCGCGGGGCUGUCCGGGUCCCGCCCGCACACCUAGCGCUCUGAGCCACCUCUCACGCGCGGUCCUGCGGCAAAUACCUAAGGCACGGCAGGCAAAGUCAAGGUUUUCUGGCAUGGAUUGUGUCCUUGGGGAGCAAACACCCUCUUCCAGGCCAAUUUGUAUGGUAGAAAGGGAUGACCGCUGACGGCGGGUCAGGACUACUUGGGUUUUAAUUCUGGUUCUGUAGUCGAUGAGCUCUGGGCUACUCGCUUAAAUUCUCUGGGCUCAUCUGUCAGAUGAAAGGGUUACCCUAGGGGACCGUGGAGAGCCUCCCAGGCUCUGGAGUCUUGCGACUGUCUGGCACCUGCAUCUGAAGGAGCACCCUCCGGCAGCACCUGGACACGGGCCUGGAGACCCUCUUGCCGCUCCAGCCGGGAAGGUGCCGCAAGAUGAGGAAGCAGCCGUGUUCUGUAAUCGGCACCAGCAGUUUCUUUUUAGCUUUAUGAAAACUUUGGGAAAGUUCUAAUGUGUGUGUGUGUGUGUGUGUUUGGAAGGGGACAGAGAACAUUGAAACAUUUUUCUUCUGCAGUUUUGCAAAUGUUUCCAAACUUAGGGAUUUUUUUUUUUGCCCUUGUGUCCCAUCCACCCCUCCACCCAGUGCUCCUCUGCCUGCCGUGGGCCCCACACCUCUGCACAAAGGGGAGCAGGGAAUCCAGCCACUGAGCAGCUUAAAGGAAAGCAUGUGCCUUAGGAGCUUCGGUGGUUUGCUGAAAGUGCCGCCUUUUCAAUGCCAGACCUUGAGCCAGGAUUUGAGUCAAGGUGUCUGAUCAAGCCAGAAAGUCGGUGUUCAUGUGGCUUCGGGAACUCAUUGUCACCUGGUUUUAACAAGGGACAAGCUGACCUACUGGGGUUUCUGAAGGCUACUCCCUUGUGGCCAGCACCUAGCCUACCAUCCGCACCGAAACCGGAGAGAGUGGGGAGGGCUGGAUGCCGGAUUCUUCAGCAGAGAACUUACCAAAUUGUCAGAACAACUCUCCCAGAUGGGGAUUCUUGCAGAUGAGAAAACUGAGGCUCAGAGCAGGACCGUCUCCUUGCUGACAAGUGGGGGUGAGAGGCUUGCACUGGGGUCCGAGGCCCACCCCUAAGGUCGAGGGCCGGAGUGAGGGCGCACACAGGGAAGUCGGUAAGGGUGUGUGUCUGCAGACACAAGCUACAAGUGAAGCUCACAGGAAGCCAUAGAGGACACAUUCUGUCCUCCUACCUCAAAAACUACACCUUGGUAUCUGGAAAACCAGGCUCCAAUUUAGGAUUCUCAGGCUCCUUGACGAUUGCUUCAGGGCAUGGCAGAGGGGGCUGGCCUCCAGCCUCCGGCCCUGACUUUCAAAUGCCCCUACUCCCCGCCCCUGGCUCACCUGGGCCCUUGCCUGGCUCUAAGGCGGCAAAGGGCUCUGCUCAGGCCAGCCUUGGUGCUCAGGCGAGCCGAGGCCCCCACGCGCUCCAGCGUGCUUGCUCCACCUCCCAGCCCCGUCUCACCCUCUCCUGUCCGUCCUGUUCCUACUCCCCUCAGAAUGCGGCUUCUGUCCCCUGCGCAGCCCUGUCUGUAGGAAAGACUCCUGACUCAUUGCGCAGGUUUGAGGACCGGCGUUUAGGAACACGUGUGCUGGGCCGAGGCAGGAGGCAUAAGGGUCCCGUCCCCUUCAAGUGCUGAGAAGCCCAGCGGGAGGGGACACAGAGGGGCCAACCAGUCUCUUGAAUUGGGCUGGUGAUGCCCAUGGUGGCAUUAUUUUCAACUAAAACCCCAGAUUUUCACAAAUCAUGACACAAGGCCAUUGUGUUUUUAUGUGACUUUACUCUUGGUGGAUAGAGGUUGGGGUUUCUUCAGAAAGAAGUGGACGCCCCACCUGCCGACUGCGCGAGAGGCAGAUGCAGGACAGGAAGUGCGGAGCGGGUGGUGCUGGCCAGGGGUAUUGCCGCCUGGACUCCAAGGACCGUACCAAGCUUGCAAUCCGUCUUCUGGCUGGGGUAAGCGGGCUCCAGCGCGGCGGCAAGCCAGGCAUGCUGGCGUCAGCUCUCGGGUAAGCUGGAGUUAAGCUCUUCUGCUAUCCGGCACCUCCAAUGCCACAUUGUCCAAGCCUGCUCUCUGGAAGUUCUCCUGAAAAGCGAUCCAAUGUCCUACUAAUCUGGCUGAUGGGCAUCCCAGCCAAUGUCAACGGUGCAUGAAUGGAAUCGUGACCCGUUAUACUCCUGGGUCGCUCUGCCUGAGGGUCUUGGUUACAAACAGAGGCAUCAGAGUUUAGAAAGGUAGCCUGCAGACCUGGGAAAUUGGUACUGUGCUUAGGAGCACUUUCUUGGGUUCCAAUUCUGUUGAAAAGUAAAAUUUCAUAUAGAGUAUCUAAAAAAAUUUGCUCGACCAGAGUACCAAGCUCAUGGGCCAAGUGGAUGUGAGCGAGCACGUGUGCAGCAGAGCCCGGGAGCUGGGACGGGGCGGCCGCACAGCCGCUGGCGCCCUGGGCAACAGCAAAGCUCAGGCCUGAGAGCUGCUGCCUAGGGCCAGACUGCUGGGCGCGCCCGGCUCUCGGCUCACACGCUUUGUGACUGGACAGUGACUUGCCUUGUGCCCUUCUGACGCUCAUCGGUAGUGUGAUCACAAGUUGCUGCUGAGGUGCCAGUCGGACUAGCUCUCCGUCCUGCGUUCUGCUGGGAACCCGCCAGCUCUGCAGUCUGUCCAGCCGCCAAAAAGACAGGAGGGGACCACAGGCAGGCCCUGCCCAAACAUGCAGGGCCCAGUACAGAUGGAGGCCCACACAGCAUAUGAGUGCAUAUAAAGUUACUAUGUAAUGUUUA